GCGGGGCCGCCGCGUGGGGGCGCUGGGCGGGCGAGGAGGAGCGUGAGGGGAUUUGCCGCCGCGGGCGGUCGCGGAGUGACCGUUAGCCGAGAAACCGUUAUCUGCGGUUAAAAAGAACACUUUUUUUGGAAAAAAAAAAAAAAAAAAAUCCGUUUUAGAACGGAGAUCACCUCUUGGCCGCGGCGGCAGAGCAGGAAGGUGACACAAAGCUGUGGGGAGCGGUUCGGCUGAGCGCCGGGGGAGCAGGAAACAGCACAAUGAAGGGAAGCUGCAAGAUGCAGCUCUCUAACGCAUGCUGUGGCCUCCUUAGCCCUGUCUCUGAAAUCACUAUGGUCUGGCUCCUACACAUGAGAAAAAAUCAAGGAGGGUCGAGUCAGUGAAAGAAGCAAGGAGAAAUCUGACACAAGAUGAGGAAUCAUUUUCAGAAGGAAUCUCUGCAGUGAAUAUGUCCAGCCACUAAGCUGCCUGAUGCUACUACCUCAACUCUGUCCUUCAUCAGAUUAGGUUCUCUUCUUACUUUACUGAGCAGCAGCAGAAAGUGAGUUUUAACGAGUGCAUCUGGAAAACAGCACUUCAAGUAAGAGGUACCAAUACACAUUAAGGGUUUUGCCAUGUGUGUCUGUUAGACUUCAGCUGAGGAGAGCAGCAUCAAAAGGAUUCAUAUUUUUAAAUAACAGUUGGAAGAUUAUUAUAAACGCAGACUCCAUCUGUUUAAAUGGGAAGGUGGAAGCAUACAUGAUUUCUUUAAAAGCCAGGAGGGGGCUGUGUUUACUUAAUGCUGGCUUUGGCACCUGUGGGCAUUUGGGACUUCUUGGAAAGGGGUACUAGAAGUGUGAACUAAUGAGAACUAGAAGAAUAUGGUGAUACUGCUGGGAGGGCUUGAAAGCUGGACUGCUCCAGGACUGUCUCUGGGGUGAGUCACAAGGAAUGCUUGACUGCAGGAUCUGCCUGGUAGAAGAGAGCUGAGACCUGGGCUUACGGGCACUCAAGAGAUCAGGGUUACAAAGAGAAGUGAGGUGAGAAACAGCUAUUUCAUGCCAGGUCCUUGGAAGGGGUAAGCAAAUGCCUGCCCUCUGGUCCUGUGGAUUAACUAGCGAAGAGUUGACUGGUCACUCAUUGCUGGGAGUAGGGAAAAUGAGAAGAAUCUCUAGGAGAUGUGGACUGAGCUGGGCAGGCUCUUUGCAGUCUGCACAACAGGGUGAAGGUGAACAGUGGCAUUGGGAAAGAAUUUCUAAAUUCAGAUUUGAAACUUUUGGUUAAAAAGAGGUCUUUUGUGCAUGGAAGUGGAAGUUGGCCUUGAAAAGGGUAGCUCAGGUCUGGACAGGACAGAAACAACUAUCUGAGGUUCAGAGCAGGCUGCACUAUGAGGUUUUCUCUGAUUUUCAUUCUAGGCAAUAUCCAGGGAAGGUUGUGAAAAUCUUGUUCAUUUGAUUUUGUAGUGCUUCAUCCUGUUAAUGUUGCCCUUGUUUCCUGGAUGGUACUGCUGAUCAAUGACUCCCUUCUUGCAUUGACAAUUUUUGCCCCAUUAAUAGAGCAGAAAACCCUAAAAAUGAGUCUACUAUCUGCCUGACUUUGCUGACUUCAAGGGACAAACCUUACCUAUGAGGCCUCAGCCCUCUUUCAAAAAUACCUCUCUUAAAUCAUCUCCUGUUAAUUAGUUGUUUCUCCCCAUAGAUCUGUUUCAGCACCUUCUCCACAGAUAGUUUUCCUUCUUGCUUAUGUACCGUAGAGCAAAAUUUGAUCCAGUGAUUUUUAAUAUUCAGCUUCCUUAAGGGAAUACAUUAUUACAUAUCAGGCUCUUUGAUCAAAGAAUGUACACAACUGCAUGGUACAUAUUUUUAUUAGUUACAUUUUACCAUUAAAAUGCUUGAUUCUACUUAACUCAUGUUACAAAGUAAAGUAUACCUGUAAAUGAUAACUGAAGUCAGUGUGGUGGGCGUCUGUAAAUUAUUUCUGUUGAGUAACUCCUGUUGAGAAAAUGAAUUACUAUGCAUCCUUUAUCCACUUCAGUAACAAUAUCUGACUCUCGUA